rnacentral:rRNA from 1 species
AUUGAACGCUGGCGGCAUGCUUUACACGUGCAAGUCGAACGGUAACAGGCCGCAAGGUGCUGACGAGUGGCGAACGGGUGAGUAAUGCAUCGGAACGUGCCCAGUCUUGGGGGAUAACGCAGCGAAAGCUGCGCUAAUACCGCAUACGAUCUCUGGAUGAAAGCGGGGGAUCGAAAGGCCUCGCGCGAUUGGAGCGGCCGAUGACAGAUUUGGUAGUCGGUUGGGUAAAGGCCCACCAAGCCAACGAUCUGUAGCUGGUCUGAGAGGACGACCAGCCACAAUUGGACUGAGACACGGCCCAGACUCCUACGGGAGGCAGCAGUGGGGAAUUUUGGACAAUGGGCGCAAGCCUGAUCCAGCAAUGCCGCGUGCAGGAAGAAGGCCUUCGGGUUGUAAACUGCUUUUGUACGGAACGAAACGGUCCUGGUUAAUACCUGGGGCUAAUGACGGUACCGUAAGAAUAAGCACCGGCUAACUACGUGCCAGCCGCCGCGGUAACAC